CGCUUCCCAGGAUGGAGUGAAAAGUACUGGAGCCCCAGGGAAGGGAAGGCGCCGCAGGUGUAGAACCAAGCCGGGGCUGUGCUGAACCCACUGUGGGAAGCCUGAAAGUCUGGAGGGAGCUAAGCCCUCAAGCAAGCUGCAGUGGGAAGGGAGCCCAGGAGACAAGUUCAUUGCCUGUGCUACCGCCAGGCCUGCGGUCGCCUUGGGAUGCAUGACAGUGAGCAGAGCAGACUCCCUGGACUAGCCUCUGCUCGUAUAAAAAGCACCCCCGAGGACCCAGUGGCCCACUGUGAGAGCCAGCCCUCCUGACCAUGCCCCCAGCACCAGAUCUGGGAAAGACCCUGGCAGGGAGGGGCAUGGAAGUGGUGGUUGUUGUGGCCCAGUCUGAAGGCAUUGGGUACAGAGGCUGUAGCACCUGGGUGGGCUCUGCCUGAAGACCGCUCUGGCUCAUCUCACUCACAGCAGAAUCCCUAGGAUCUUACUGUGGAAGGAAUGAAUGCAUCGAUGGAUGAGUGCCCCCGUUUGCUCCUUAGCAACAUCACCCAACCCACCUGCCUGUGCCACACCUUCUAGCCAUGCUUGGAGCAGGAACCUUGGGCAUCUCGGCCUCCGUUUCCCUACCUAUAAGUUGGGGGAAUGGUGGGGGGUGGUGCUCCCCUCACCCCUCUUUUUAAUGCCCUUCUUCUCCUUGAGGACAAGUUUUUCAGGAAUUAACCUGCAAGAAUUAUCUGGAAAUCUGUUAAAACGCAGAUUCUAAUUAAGUUUGGCAGGAGUGGGACAGGUUCUAGGUUUCUAACUAGCCUGGGUGAUACUGACGUUAGCGUCCACGAACUGCACCCUGAGGAGUGACAGCCUAGGUCAUUUCCCAGGGAAUGGACGGAGUGCUUCUCCUCAAGGUGUUAUAUGGCUGCGUAACAAGUCAGAAAUCCACAAGGGUGCUUAAGACAAACUUGCUAGGAAACAAUCUGAAUGGGCCAAGUCAGAACUCCUUAAAAAAAUUUUUUUUUAAUUGUAUUAAAUAUACAUAACAUGAAA